rnacentral:lncRNA from 1 species
AAAUGGAAUAUUUUGACGUAUUAAUGGUUCCCUAUAAAACCCUUUAAUUCUAAGAAAGUGUCAUAUGGUCUUGAACUCGGUCAAAACACUGCAGUAUGAAGGGUGAUAAUGAGUAAGCCUACGUUCAGUCGUUUUUUGAAAGCGACCACGCUGAGAUUGCUCCGUGAGCGACCGCUUCUGUGUGCAGCUGGCCUGGUGAUCGCUACGGGUUCGGCAGUCUACUUUUAUAACAAAUAUUACGGCGUCGGUGAGGAUGAACCGGCCACCGGGGAGACCGUGGACCGUGUUGUCACGGUUGAGGAGGAUCAUGAUCCCACCCUGGACCAGGAGGACCCAGUCCUUGUUCAGUUUGUGGAUGAGGAGGUUGGGCAGCGGCCCUGUCUGGCUUUAGUCCCUUGGUCUGGACCUCUGUGGGUUCCCAGCUCUAUGUUCAUGAGGGAUCAGCCUGUUCUCAUCUGUUUCACUCCUGUUGGGAGGAUGGUGUGGGAGGAACUGUCUUCUCAAACUGAACAGCCAAAUAGUGAAGACUCUGGUUUUCCCUAUGAGAAGAUGCAGCUGGUUGGGAACUGGGGUUCAUUUCAUUUCCAUACCUGGAUAAUCCGUUAUGGACGAGUGCAGCAAAAUGAAGAGGACAUGCAUCACCUGUGCAUUGUGAGGGGAGUGGAGAAACAGCUGUGGUGGAGCAGAGUCAUUCAGGAAAAAAUCAUGGACCCAUGGGGUAUUGUCCAGGUGGUCCUCACCAACAAGGAGGUGACUGGUAUUAAGUUCCUUGGUAGAAGGAUCCAUGGACUCAGGUCUUGCCUCGUCAAGAGGAGGUUAGAGUUCACCUAUUAUGAGGACGCCCAGCAGGUGGAUAUCUCCACCACAGUGGAGGGGUUCCAGGAGAGGGGGGAUGACAUGAUGGCGUAUCAGUUCUCUACCUCUGACAUUAUCACCAUCCCUCAUGAGCCGUCCUCUGGCUCCUCUCACCAGUUCCCCCAGGAUUCUCCACCUCCCCCUCCGCCUCCCCCAUUCCCUUCCGAUUCCCCUCCACCUUACCACUUCACCCAGGACCAGGCCCAGGACCAGACCCCUGACAGCACUCCUCAGGAGUUUGUGGAGGAGCAACAUAAUGUUGCAGAUGUGCCCCAGCUGUGGAGUUACUUUGGAAACCAAGGGACAACCAACUUCUCUCUGAGGCUGGCCUGUAUCCGACGUGCUAUGGAGGCUCUGACAUCCUCAGACAGUUCCUCCCUUAAUUACCUCACCCACGCUGGGAGGAUGGUGUUGAGUGGACUGUCCAAGCUCAACCAGCAGGAUGUGAGGCAGUUUCAGCAGGCCUAUGACAUCCUGGUGAACUUCAUUAAUGAGCCAGCAAACAGGGAGCGACUAGAGCUGGAGAUGGCUCUUGUAGGAAUCAACCACAUCAACUUCACGGAUGUAUUUUAUGAAUUCGUUCUACUAAGCCUUCUAGAAGGAAAAACAUCUCUUCCAACAUCUAGGCCUGGUACCUUCUUUUAUCUGCUCAUGGAAGUGAUCAUGAGGAUUCGCCCUCCUGGAGGAGCCUGGACAGAGUCUGCUGGGAACUUCUACCUCCUCAUUAAGGAUCAGAUGAAGGCGUGGUUGGACUCCAUCUUCAACCUUGAUGAGUCCAUCUAUGAAAGCCCACAGAGGCUCUCGUGGCAGGUGAUGGUGAAUCUAGAAAUGCAGGUUGACUUCCUCCUGUCCAGCCUGGAUUAAGGGUCCCAAACUGAGCUGAGGAUCCCAA